rnacentral:rRNA from 1 species
AGGCUUUGAUCCUGGCUCAGGAUGAACGCUGGCGGCGUGCUUAACACAUGCAAGUCGAACGAACCUUCGGGUUAGUGGCGGACGGGUGAGUAACGCGUGAGAAUCUGCCCUCAGGAGGGGGAUAACGGCCGGAAACGGCCGCUAAUACCCCAUAUGCCGAGAGGUGAAACGAAUUUCGCCUGAGGAUGAGCUCGCGUCUGAUUAGCUAGUUGGUGGGGUAAAGGCCUACCAAGGCGACGAUCAGUAGCUGGUCUGAGAGGAUGAUCAGCCACACUGGGACUGAGACACGGCCCAGACUCCUACGGGAGGCAGCAGUGGGGAAUUUUCCGCAAUGGGCGAAAGCCUGACGGAGCAACGCCGCGUGAGGGAUGAAGGCCUCUGGGCUGUAAACCUCUUUUCUCAAGGAAGAAGAUCUGACGGUACUGUGAAGGUAAUAAGCCACGGGUAUAUCCGU